rnacentral:rRNA from 1 species
GACGAACGCUGGCGGCGUGCCUAAUACAUGCAAGUAGAACGCACAGUUUAUACCGUAGCUUGCUACACCAUAAACUGUGAGUUGCGAACGGGUGAGUAACGCGUAGGUAACCUGCCUGGUAGCGGGGGAUAACUAUUGGAAACGAUAGCUAAUACCGCAUAAUAUUGAUUAUUGCAUGAUAAUUGAUUGAAAGAUGCUAUUGCAUCACUACCAGAUGGACCUGCGUUGUAUUAGCUAGUAGGUGAGGUAACGGCUCACCUAGGCGACGAUACAUAGCCGACCUGAGAGGGUGAUCGGCCACACUGGGACUGAGACACGGCCCAGAAUCCUACGGGAGGCAGCAGUAGGGAAUCUUCGGCAAUGGACGAAAGUCUGACCGAGCAACGCCGCGUGAGUGAAGAAGGUUUUCGGAUCGUAAAGCUCUGUUGUAAGAGAAGAACGGGUGUGAGAGUGGAAAGUUCACACUGUGACGGUAUCUUACCAGAAAGGGACGGCUAACUACGUG